rnacentral:lncRNA from 1 species
AAACACAAAAGCUCCACAAAAGUCGAUUUUUGUGGUUACAAAUAAAUUUUUGUGAAUAGUCAAAUAUACAAAUAUAGAAUCUGCAAAUAGUGAGAAUCGGCUAUAUGUCAAAGUUCACUCCUGUGUUUUGCAGCAAGUCGUUUGUUUAUGAAUCACGGCUUCAAUAAGCCAAAGACUCAGUUAUACUAUAGGCUUUGCAAAACAGAAAUGAGUCCCAUCACAGAACAGAUUAGGCAUUAUAUGCUUCAACUCGUGGUAAAUUGACUCUUUGAGUGAUGAAUGAGAUGAAGCUAACAUGCAUGUGUAUCAUGAUCAUGUACCAUCUCAAAAAUGAAAUAAAGCCUUUUUUUUUUCUUCCCAGGUUCAGCUCCAGUUCUCAUUCCAGAAAAAAAUACUGGCUUUUUCAGUUGAUUCUGGUUCAAAGACCUGUUGUUAACAUCAAUAAGACAAUAAAUAAUAACACAGUUACCUAUGAUCAUACUUAAGAUCUAUAUCAUGUAUACAGUUUAAAUAUAUCAAAAUCUUAUAGAAAAAGCUUAAGAAGGGAAACUACAGAAUGAAAUCUGACUUUGUUCAACUUGUUGAGAAAUAAAAAGAUAAUGUGGUAAAGGAUUGCAAUGUGAAGUAUUACAUAUAUUUCAGAUUGCAAUAUACAAAAUGAAGAACUAGGUACCAUUAGAGGAGUACAUGGGAGUCACAAGUAGAAACUUUACAGACAGAUUCACAGAGCAUGAGUUGAACCUAAUGUACAUCAAAAAAUGGCAUUAGCAACUAAAUUUUAUGAACAAUGCAUAAAAAUAAACUGACAGAAGAUUAAAGUUGUACACAAUGUGAAGAAAUUAUAAGGAGAACUUGAGUGAAGCCAUUAUGAUCCUAAAAAGUGCAUACAGGAAUAUGAUUAACUAACAAGGGGUGCUUCCCAACCGUGUAAAAACGAAAAUGAACCAAACUUUAUAAAUAUAGUAUCGA